rnacentral:rRNA from 1 species
UACUGAUCUUAGCGGCGGACGGGUGAGUANUGCUUAGGAAAUCUGCCUAUUAGUGGGGGACAACAUUUCGAAAGGAAUGCUAAUACCGCAUACGUCCUACGGGAGAAAGCAGGGGAUCUUCGGACCUUGCGCUAAUAGAUGAGCCUAAGUCGGAUUAGCUAGUUGGUGGGGUUAAAGGCCUACCCAGGCCGACGAUCUGUAGCGGGUCUGAGAGGAUGAUCCGCCACACUGGGACUGAGACACGGCCCAGACUCCUACGGGAGGGCAGCCAGUGGGGAAUAUUGG